AUACAGAGGGUGCAAACGUUGCUCGGAAUUAUUGGGCGUAAAGCGCAUGUAGGCGGCCUCGUAAGUCGAUAGUGAAAGCCCAUGGCUCAACCAUGGAAGUGCUACCGAAACUGCGAGGCUAGAGUCCCGGAGAGGGUGGCGGAAUUCCCAGUGUAGAGGUGAAAUUCGUAGAUAUUGGGAAGAACACCAGUGGCGAAGGCGGCCACCUGGCCCGGUACUGACGCUGAGGUGCGAAAGCGCGGGGAGCAAACAGGAUUAGAAACCCCGGUAGUCC
rnacentral:rRNA from 1 species